rnacentral:rRNA from 1 species
GGGGUUGACGGUACCCUACUAGAAAGGAGCCGCUAACUUCGUGCCAGAAGCGUCGGUAAUACGGGGGCUCCAAGCGUUAUCCGGUGUUAUUGGGCGUAAAGAGUCGUGUAGGUGGUUGGGUAAGUUAUCUUUCAAAUAUCUUUGCUUAACAAAGAGGAGGGGGAUAAUACUGCUCGACUAGAAUUUUCUCAAGGGAGAUCGGAACUGAGGGAGGAGUAGUGAAAUGCGUUGAUACCCUCGGGGAACACCAGUGGCGUAGGCGGAUCUCUGGGAGAAGAUUGACACUGAGACACGAAAGCUAGGGGAGCGAAGCAGAUUAGAGACCUGCGUAGUCCUAGCCGUAAACGCAUGCUUGCUAGCUGCAUGAAUCUACCUUCGGGUGGUAUCGUGUGGCGAAGGUAACCCGUUAAGCAAGCCGCCUGGAAAGUACGGCCGCAAGGCUGAAAUUCAAAGGAAUUGGCGGGGAGGCACACAACCAGUGGAACAUGUGGUUUAAUUCGAGACUAACCGAAGAACCUCACCAGGGUUUGACAUGUAGCUGCACGUCUUAAGAAAUUAAGACUCUCUUGAAGGUGCUACACAGGUGCUGCAUGGCUGUCGUCAGCUCGUUCCGUGAGGAGUGCCCUUAAGUGGGACAACGAGCGCAACCCCUAUUACAUGUUAGAAAUGUCAUGUAAGACUGCCUUGCCAUUUGGCGGGGAGGAAGGAGGGGCAGACGUCAAGUCCGCAUGGUCCUUAUGCCCUGGGCUACACACAUGUUACAAUGAGUACGGCAAUGAGUCUGUCGCGAGCACGUAAGUGUAAGCUAAUCUCUUAAAUGUACUCCCAGUGGGGAUUGAGGUCUGCAACUCGACCUCAUGAACACGGAAUUGGUAGUAAUCGCGGGUCAGCUAUACCGCGGUGAAUACGUUCUUGCCUCUUGCACACACCGCCCGUCAAACCAGCAAAGUCGAUUGUAUCCGAACCUCUCUUUU